ACCUAGUGCCCGUGCUAACAGCUCACGAUGCCCCGAGGAAAGAGUGGGUUUGAUGGAAUAACAUAGAAAGAUUCAAGGAGCGCUGACUGACAGCCGAGGAGUCAUUUCUCAAGGAAAAAAGGAUGCACUGUGUGACAAAACCAAAACCGUGUCAGAUAGCUGCUGGAGGGCUGAUCGCCGUGCCGCACGCCCUGCCGUGGGUUGUGGUAUCUUCUAGUGUUUGUUUAUUUUAAUUACAAGGCAGCACUCAACAAACAGUUGCAGAAUAAACGAAAACUGUGUCUUAAAAACGAAUCCUUCUACUUUACAUGCUUUGUGGAAAUCCACAGGGAAAUGGUUCUUCUGAGAUUUCAGAGUUCUAGGAAGCCUCAAGCACAGAGGAACAGGGAACAGGAACAGGGAAUCUUAUGAAAUUCACUGACGAGAUCAUAAAGACGUACUAUCUGAGGCUCACAGUGGCUCUCCGUGCAGGAGUGUGGAUGACAUUUUACUUAGGAAGAGGACAGACUUCAAGCUCUGAUCUGGAUGGCUUCAGACUUUUGAUUUACUCCUUCCCCUUCAUCUUGUUGCGGUGUCCUUGACCUAUGCGAUCCUCACACCAUAGCCUCUGACCACAUGCAAUGUUCAAUAUUAUCAUCCCCUUAGUCCAAACUGCAGUGAAAAUACAAAUGGCAUUUCAAAACCUCGGUAUAAAAAUAAUAAAUUAUCUCACUAAUCGGCACUGUAUUGAUUAUGUGUAGAAAUGAUAACAUUAUAAGUAUAUUGUGUAUUAUUCAAGAUUUGUAUGGAUGCUAUUACUAAAUGGAAUUUAGAUUCAGAGGAUAAAUGUAGAAGCUAACUUCAUUUGCAAUCCAAAGAUUGCUAGACGGCUUUCUGUCAUUGUGACAAACUAUUUAAAAAUAAAUAUGUUAUAGAGUUUUGAA